rnacentral:snRNA from 1 species
AUGUUUGGCUGUACAUAUACGAUAAUUUAAACCAUGUAGAGGAUAUUAGCAUGGCCCUUGUGCAAGGAUGAAAUGCAAAAUCAACAUGCAGGAUCAUUGCCC